CAGCAGCCGCGGGAAUACGGAAGGGGCUAGCGUUGUUCGGAACUACUGGGCGUAAAGCGCACGUAGGCGGCUUGGUAAGUUAGAGGUGAAAGCCCGGAGCUCAACUCCGGAAUUGCCUUUAAGACUGCCGAGCUAGUAGGUGAGAGAGGUAAGUGGAAUUCCGAGUGUAGAGGUGAAAUUCGUAGAUAUUCGGAAGAACACCAGUGGCGAAGGCGGCUUACUGGCUCAUUCUAGACGCUGAGGUGCGAAAGCGUGGGGAGCAAACAGGAUUAGAUACCCCGGUAGUCCCUGUCUCUUAUAC
rnacentral:rRNA from 1 species